AUGCCGCCGGUCCUCGGUAUCAUACAUCGUCCUGCUCCAGCUUCAUGUGAGGGUCCAAUGAAAUCCACGCUCCCUUCCAAGGCGCUUCGCCAUGGGUCUUGGGCGUCCGUCGUGUCUACUCCUGUUGGCUUGGCUACACCGCCCGAUGUGAUGUUACAAUCCGCUUUGGCGGAUCAGACAGCGCUGUUGCAGAUUUGCCUGGCGCGUGUUGGGAGUCUUCUCGAGCGAGCGGAGGCUGCUUUGAGCAGUCUCUCCCUUGCGCCGGCUUUGUCGCAGACCACUCCGAUGUCACGCCCUCCUGGUGUGGCCGAUGUUGGCUCCAUUGAGAAAGGGGACCAAGAGCUAUAUGGAUGUUUCUCCCCUCGUGUUGGGGACAGUUCAUCGUCUCUGUCAGCCUCGUCCCCUAUGUUGUCUACCACUGAGGGUGAGUCCGUCGUCGUGCUUCAGGCUCCGGUGCUGCAGGCCAUGCCCGAGCUGCGGGAGCUAUGUCUGAGCCCUACUUCGCCAUUGUUCGUGGAGCAUUUGGAGGUUGACUCCUCGAUGACCUCGUGUGCGGGACAUGUUUCGCCUCUGUCAUCUAAGCAACUGAAGGUGCAUGAGUCCAUCAUGUCGGUCGACCCUACGGUUGAUGAUGUCGUGUCGAUGGUUCCUCUAGUUGAAGAUGUCGAUGCAGCUGGUGUGUUGAUGUUGGCUCCUCGGAGCCUUUUGGUGGACGACAUUGACACCCAAAAAUUUGAGGAGUUUUAUGAUUUUCUUGACAAAUGGGUGGCAGAUCAGCCUCAAUCUAGCAGGACAAGUGGUUGCCCCUCAAAGGAGAAGCCAGGCAGGGAGAAAGCAAAGAGGAACAAAAGUAAGAAGAGUGGCGCCAUUCGAAAGGCGUCCAUGGUUUCAUGA
rnacentral:rRNA from 1 species